rnacentral:rRNA from 1 species
UACGUAGGGGGCAAGCGUUACUCGGAAUUAUUGGGCGUAAAGGGCGCGUAGGCGGUCGUGCGCGUCGGAGGUGAAAUCCCCGGGCUUAACCCGGGAGCUGCCUCCGAUACGGCAUGGCUUGAGUCCGGGAGAGGGGAGCAGAAUUCCCAGUGUAGCGGUGAAAUGCGCAGAUAUCAGGAGGAACACCGAUGGCGAAGGCAGGUCUCUGGGCCACUACUGACGCUGAGAAGCGAAAGCAUGGGGAGCGAACAGG